UACGUAGGUGGCAAGCGUUGUCCGGAUUUACUGGGCGUAAAGCGCGUGUAGGCGGCGGGAUAAGUCGCAUGUGAAAGCCCUCGGCUCAACCGAGGAAGUGCAUGCGAUACUGUUUCGCUUGAAUGCCGGAGGGGAUGGCGGAAUUCCCGGUGUAGAGGUGAAAUUCGUAGAUAUCGGGAGGAACACCUGUGGCGAAGGCGGCCAUCUGGACGGCGAUUGACGCUGAGACGCGAAAGCGUGGGUAGCAAACAGG
rnacentral:rRNA from 1 species